UACGUAGGGUGCAAGCGUUGUCCGGAAUUAUUGGGCGUAAAGAGCUCGUAGGCGGUUUGUCGCGUCGGCUGUGAAAACCCGGGGCUCAACCCCCGGGCCUGCAGUCGAUACGGGCAAACUAGAGUGCGGUAGGGGAGACUGGAAUUCCUGGUGUAGCGGUGAAAUGCGUAGAUAUCAGGAGGAACACCUGUGGUGUAGACAGCUUACUGGACCACUUCUGACGCUGAGACACGAAAGCGUGGGUAGCAAACAGG
rnacentral:rRNA from 1 species